rnacentral:lncRNA from 1 species
CCUUGACUUGUCUCCAUUCUCCGCAUCUCCUGUCUCUUUCUUUUAAUCCCCACUCCCUCCCAAGGGUCUCCGUUGCUCGUCCCGCGGGUUGGGACAAACUGGCACCCAACGUGAGAGCUCAAGUACGAGGGACACAGUGAGGGACACCGUCGAGGUCAGCCGGCACAGAAGGAUUAAGAAACCUGGAGAAAAGAGCGCCGUGGGAACCUGCCACGGACUCACGCUCCGAUUGAAGGAACAUCAGUCCACAAAGAAGAGAGAAAAACAACAACAACCAAAAAAACACAACAACAACAAAAAUGCAAGAACUCUGACAACUCGAAUAGUCAAUGUGCCCUCUAUCCGCAACCAACUUCACCACUUCUGUAGCAAGGAUUCUCAACUGGGAUGAGAUAGCUAAAAUGACAGAAAUAGAAUUCAGAAUAUGAAUAGCCUGAAGAUCACAGUGGUGCACGUGUAUGUUGAAACCCAAUGCAAAGAAGCUAAGAAUCACAAUUGAUAUGGUUUGGCUCUCUGUCCCCACAUCUUGAAUUAUAAUCCCAUAAUUCCCAUAUGUGUUGGAAUGACCCAGUGGGAGAUAAUUGAAUCAUGGGGGUCAUUUCCCCUAUACUUUUCUUGUGGUAGUGAAUAAGUCUCAUGAUAUAUGAUGAUCUUAUCAGGUGUUUCUGCAUUUGAAUUUUCAUUAUUCUCUCGUUGCCUCCUGCCAUCCAUAUAAGAUAUGACUUGCCAUGAUUGUUAGUCUUCCCCAGCCAUGUGGAACUCUAAGUCCAUUAAAUGUGUUUUCCUGCAUAAGUUACUCAGUCUUGAAUAUAUCUUUAUCAGCAGUGUGAAAAUGGACUAAUACAACAAUAAAACAUUACAGGACCUGACAGACAAAGUAGCCCACAUAGAAAGUAAUGUGACUGACCUGAUAGAGCUGAAAAACACACUACAAGAAUUUUAUAAUGCAAUUGCUGAUAUUAAGUCUUAGAAGAAAAGACUAAGUUGAGGAAAGAAUCCUGAAGCCUGAAGACUGGCUUUCUAAAAUAAGAUAGUUAGACUAGAAUAGAGAAAAAAGAACAAAAACAAUGAAAAAAACCUCUAAGAAAUAUGAGAUACUGAAAAGAAACAGAAGCUACUCAUUGAUGUUCCUGAAAGAGAUGGGGAUAAUAGAAGCAACUUGGAAAGCAUAUGUUAGGAUAUCAUGCAUGAGAACUUCCCAAACAUAGCUAGAGAGGUCAAUAUUCAAAGUCAGGAAAUGCAGAAAACCCUAGUAAGAUAUUUCACAAGAAGGCCAUCCCGAAUCCACAUAACCUUCAGAUUCUAGAGGACAAAAUAAAAAAAAAUAUGUUAAAAUAUAUACACCUUCCCAUUGUAGAUUCCUACAAAGGGAAACCCAUCAGACUACCAGCAGAACUUUUAGCAGAAACCUUACAAGACAGAAGAGAUUGAGGGACAAUAUUCACCAUUCUUAAAGAAAUGAAAUUCCAACUCUGAAUUUUAUCUUUGGCCAAACUAAGCUUCAUAAGCAAAGGAAAAAUACAAUCAUUUUCGGACAAGUAAAUACUAAAGGAAUUUGUUACUAUCAGAACUACCUUACAAGAGCUCCUGAAAGAAGCACUAAAUAUGAAAAGGAAAGACUAUUACUGGCCAUUACAGAAACAUACUUAAGUACAAAGACCAGUGACACUAUAAAGCAACCAUGCAAGUAAGUCUGCAUAAUAAUCAGCUAACACCACAAUUGCAGGAUCAAAUUCAUAUAUAUCAAUAGUAACAUUGAAUGUAAAUGGGCCAAAUACCUGAAUUAUUAAAAAAGGCAGAGUGGCAAGCUAGUUAAAGAACUAAGACCCAAUGAUUUGCUGUCUUCAAGAGACCCAUAUCACAUACAAUGAUAUCCAUAUGUUCAAAAUAAAGGGAUGGAGAAAAAUCCAUCAAGCAAGUGAAAAACAGAAUAAAUCUGGGUUCAUAACCCUAAUUUAAUACCAAACAAAACGGACUUUAAACCGACAAAGAUUAAAAAAAAAAGGAAAGGCAUUGUAUAAUGGUAAAGGGUUCAAUUCAACAAGAAAAUUUAACUAUUCUAAAUAUAUAGGCACCUAACACAGGAGCACCCAGAUUUAUAAAGCAAGUUCUUAGAGACGUUCAAAAAGACUUAGACUCCCACAGAAUAAUAGUGGAAAACAUCAACUUUCCACUGACAGUAUUAACUAGAUCACAAAGGCAGAAAAUUAACAAAGACAUUCAGAACCUGAACUCAGCACUGGAUCAAAUGGACAUGGUAGACAUCUACAGAACUCUACACCCAAAACAACAGAAUAUACAUUCUUGGCAUUGCCACAUGACACACAUACUAAAAUUGACCAUACAGUCAGACAAAAAAAAUCCUCAACAAAUGCAAAAGAACUGAUAUUAUACCAACCACUCUUUUGGACAACAGUGUGAUAAAAUUAGAAAUCAAGAUUAAGAAAAUAUCUCAAAACCAUACAAUUAUCUGAAAAUUAAAUAAUAUGCUCCCAAAUGAUGUUUGAGUAAAUAAUGAUAAAAUUAAGGCAGAAAUCAAGAAGUUCUUUGAAACUAGUGAAAAUAAAGAUACCAGAAUAUCUGCAACAAAGCUAAGGCAGUGUUAAGAGGGAAAUUUACAGUACUAAAUGCUCAUAUAGAAAAGUUAAGAACAUCUCAAUUUAACAAGCUAACAUCACAAUAAAGAACUAGAGAUGCAAGAGCAAACAAACCUCAAAAUUAGCAGAAGAUG